GGAUUUGUGGCUCAGUGGUAGAGCCCUUACUUGUACAUGUGAGGUACUGUGUUCGAUCCUCAGCACCA
rnacentral:tRNA from 1 species